AUUGAACGCUGGCGGCGUGCUUAACACAUGCAAGUCGAACGUGAAAGUCCUUCGGGAUGAGUAAAGUGGCGCACGGGUGAGUAACGCGUGGAUAAUCUACCCUUAAGAUGGGGAUAACGGCUGGAAACGGUCGCUAAUACCGAAUACGCUCCCGAUUUUAUCAUUGGGGGGAAAGAUGGCCUCUGCUUGCAAGCUAUCGCUUAAGGAUGAGUCCGCGUCCCAUUAGCUAGUUGGCGGGGUAACGGCCCACCAAGGCAACGAUGGGUAGCCGGUCUGAGAGGAUGACCGGCCACACUGGAACUGGAACACGGUCCAGACUCCUACGGGAGGCAGCAGUGGGGAAUAUUGCGCAAUGGGCGAAAGCCUGACGCAGCGACGCCGCGUGAGGGAUGAAGGUUCUCGGAUCGUAAACCUCUGUCAGGGGGGAAGAAACCCCCUCGUGUGAAUAAUGCGAGGGCUUGACGGUACCCCCAAAGGAAGCAC
rnacentral:rRNA from 1 species